rnacentral:rRNA from 1 species
AUGGCGUCAACCACCGAAUCGGCAUGCACAACUCAGACGGUGCAAGGCACACAUCGGUUCCAGAUAUGUCAGUUCAGUUAUGGGAAUGUUGGUGAUGAGGAUUACAUCCGCUCCGGCACCUUCAGGGUGGGGGGAUUCGACUGGGUUAUUGUAUACUGCCCGGACGCUGAUGGCGAUGAUGGGGUGGAAUACAUAUCAGUUUAUCUGGAGUUGAUGAGCAAGUAUGCGGAGGCGUUGGCGUUCGUAGACCUGAGACUGAUCAACCAAGUCACUGGAGAUGCGUGUACAAUAUAUGCAGAGAACAGGGUGCCGAAUCAGUUCAAGUCUACCAGCUUCGAAGAGGCUUCCUGGGGGCGUGAAAAAUUUAUCAGUAAACGUGCUUUGAAAGAUUCAGGGUAUAUCCGAGAUAACCGCCUUGUUAUUGAGUGUGUCGUUACUGUGGUACACGAACUAAGGGUGUCUGAAAACAAAGCAUCCUGCGAAAUUGAAGUCCCUCCCCCAAAUGCAUUAGAGCAUUUUGGCAAGAUGCUGAAGGAUAAGUCCAGAGCAGAUGUGACCUUCAAAGUUGGAGGAGAAAUGUUUCCUGCCCACAGGGCAGUGCUCUCUGCCAGGUCGCCAGUUUUCAAAGCGCAGCUAAGUGAACCCAUGAAGGAGAACAAGAUGCGGCACAUAACCGUUGAUCGCAUGGAACCGGUGGUUUUCGAGGCUCUGCUCCAUUUCGUUUACACUGAUUCCUUGCCUACAAUGGAUGAUCUUGACAGAUCUGAAAGAAAUGCCGUGGUCCAGCAUCUAUUUGCAGCAGCGGAGCAAUAUGGUCUAGAGAGGUUGAAGCUUAUGUGUGAACGCAUCUUGUGCCUGAACCUUGAUGUUGAUAAUGUGGCUGUUGUACUGCGUCUAGUUGAUCGAUACGACUGCCAGAAGCUCAAAGAAGCCUGUGUCGACUUUUUGGUUCCUUCAGAGAGAAUCGAUGCUGUUGUGGCAAGCCGAGAAUACGAGUCAAUAAAGUUGGUUUCUCCCUCUCCAUUAGCCGAUUUGUGGGAGAAGAAUACUCGUCCCCCCAAACGUUCCUUUUAG